rnacentral:tRNA from 1 species
GGAGAAGUGGCAGAGAGGCUGAAUGCACCUGACUCGAAAUCAGGCAAGGGUGAAUAAUCCUUCGGGGGUUCAAAUCCCCCCUUCUCCGCCA